rnacentral:rRNA from 1 species
AGACCUCUAAUCGGAAAAGACCACC